AAGCUUAUGAAUAAUUAUAUUGCAGCGAAUGCGUUACGACAGGCACUGUCAUUGUGUGAAUAAUUAAUGAUAUAGUGAUCCAAGCAUUACGUCGAGUUUGCCGUAAGCUUACCUCAUAGCCAUCAUAAGCCAGGUACGCUGACGGAAGGGUAACGUAACCACACGGAAGAGCCAAAAAGUACUAUGUAGGAAUACAAACGCAAAAGCAGCAGCAGUAACAACAACAGAAAACAGUUUUGUUAGAUAAAUGGCCUUGGGCAAAAGUCUUUAUAACUGCAAUAACAUAAGUUAGUGGAAACAGUGUCAGGCUUUCCCAGAUGGAGACAAUAUAGUGAGAUUAUUCACCCAGUGUUUAUUCACAAGAUUGACCGAAGCUUAUUUAGAUGACCAAAUUAUGAACAAUGACCCACCCUGAGGCUGUAAGAGUGGGCGUGAUGAGAGAAUGCGUACUUGAAGCAGUUAUAUGACUUAAUAUAUUCAAGAAGACCAAGCGAUCCUUAUAGGACUACAUGCAAAGCAAUGUACUCCAGACCGCACAACUGGACAUACAGAUUGUGCCCUGAUGCCAUCUGCCCAGUUCUCCCAGCCUCAUCUUCCCUCUCUAUGCCUAGCUUCACAUCGGUUGGUUCUUCUUUGGCUCUCUUCAUCCCGUCUGCCUGCCUCGCUGCUCUCCCUGAUAACAUUUCCUGACUGAUGCCUUGAACUCGGACUCUUUCUGCAAGGUGCCAUUCUCAGCAGUGACUCAAUUUAGUGCCACCCUGCUGCUUGGCAUUGCACUUCUGAGGUCAUCACCAUCUUUCUUCAGCCAACCAAAAUGAUUCUCACCAACCACCCCAGCUCUGCUAAGCUUGAUGUUGGAGGUCUGCUGUUUUUGAAGCAGGGGACCACUGUCCAUUAAAGGCUUCAUAAACCAUUUAACAAAAUCACAUAAGAUAGGGUAGUUCAUACUCCAUGCGAUGUGCCAUACAAUGGAAGGGCCAUGUUCCUUAUCACAUCUGGAUACUGCAAAGCUCCUGUCUCCUCAACAAUUUACGAACAAUUUUCCUGUGUGUGUCUAAUGAUAAUAAAAAAAUUAUAAUUGAUCAAUUAUACUUUGAAGGAUAAAGCAAAACUACUAUAUUUACUAUAAAGCUAUCUAAACCAAUAGCAGCUUCAUAAGACUUACGGUGGUUAUCAAAGGGACUAACAAACAAAUAUAAUGCAUAUGGGUUGACCUAUGAAAACAUAAUGUCCUGUUUUCAUUUGUCAGUUACCAGUUAGGCUUUAGAAGCAUGAUAAAGUUAAAGUGUAUUUAAAAAUAUAGUUUGGAAAAAUGUGUGAAAGUGGUCAUGAAUUUCAAGGGUUGAACGAUUAUAGUUAACUGUUUAAAAAUAUGUAGUUGUAGCCUACUAAUGCUUUUAUAAAAUGCUCAAAAUAUAUUUUAGAUAACAUCCUGUGAUAUCCAAGCCUUGUUUGUUUCUGUGUUUUCAAAGCUCCACACCAGUAGGUGGUGGUAAAAAAAACAGUGUAGGUACGUGUUAACACGUGAUUUACGUGUUAACACGCACUUACGCGUUAACACGUAGUGCGUGUUAACACGUGAUUUACGCGUUAACACGUAGUGCGUGUUAACACGUAUUUUCAACAUGUUUUUUCCCUGUUGGCCUUCCAUACAGGUGCACGCACCAGUAGCGCCUCACUGCAGAAUACGACAUCCAGGGGGCGGGGUUGGAUUCAGAUCCAGGGGCGGAGCUGGAUCCAGAUCCAGAGAUCCCAUUGGUCAGCAGUUUAACCACAAGACACGUCAUACAUGUGUCGCUGCGUUACCAUUUCCACAUUAAGUCGUAACUAAAUUAAGUUAUUCUUUUGACAUAAAAACGAACUUUACUUAUGACUACAAUAAAAGUAGUGCCUUUAGGGUGAAAUGCUAUAAUGUUUUGGAGUAAAACAUUUCGGGUAAGCCUACUACGAGUAAUCUUACCACAUGCAGUUUAAGACCUACAGUACAGUAUAAAUAUGCAUAAUUAU